UAAACAACACUAGAGACAAAAGUCAUCUAACCCACAGAACAGGUACAGCAUGGGUAGCAGCAGUGAAAGUUUUCCCCUCACACUUGUUGUGGAGAGAGCACCUCAAGAGGUGAGGAGGACAGCUGAGUUUCCUGAGGGUUUGAUAAGGCACUGUA
ensembl:misc_RNA